UUGGAGAUGAUGCAUUGAAAACAUCUGAUUAACACUGAUGGUGUUUGUAUUCAUACUGUCUGAUCCAA